GACGAACGCUGGCGGCGCGCUUAACACAUGCAAGUCGAACGGGGCCACCCCGUAAGAACCCUUCGGGGGGAUUAUGGGAAUGGCCCAGUGGCGAACGGGUGAGUAACACGUGAGGAACCUGCCCUUUAGAGGGGGAUAACACUUAGAAAUAGGUGCUAAUACCGCAUAAGACCACAGUGUCGCAUGGCACAGCGGUCAAAGGAGCAAUCCGCUAAAGGAUGGCCUCGCGCCCGAUUAGCUAGUUGGAGGGGUAACGGCCCACCAAGGCAACGAUCGGUAGCCGGACUGAGAGGUCGAUCGGCCACAUUGGGACUGAGACACGGCCCAGACUCCUACGGGAGGCAGCAGUGGGGAAUAUUGCACAAUGGGCGAAAGCCUGAUGCAGCGACGCCGCGUGAGGGAAGAAGGUUUUCGGAUUGUAAACCUCUGUCUAUGGGGACGAAACAAAUGACGGUACCCGUAGAGGAAGCCACGGCUAACUACGUGCCAGCCGCCGCCGUAAAAC
rnacentral:rRNA from 1 species